rnacentral:rRNA from 1 species
AUCGAACGCUGGCGGCAGGCCUAACACAUGCAAGUCGAGCGAGCGGCGGACGGGUGAGUAAUGUAUGGGGACUGCCCGAUAGAGGGGGAUAACUACUGGAAACGGUGGCUAAUACAGCAUACUGUCGGAUAACCCAUAUGGGAUUAGCUAGUGGGUAAGGUAAUGGCUUACCUAGGCGACGAUCCCUAGCUGGUCUGAGAGGAUGAUCGGCCACACUGGGACUGAGACACGGCCCAGACUCCUACGGAGGCAGCAGUGGGGAAUAUUGCACAAUGGACGAAAGCCUGAUGGAGCAAUGCCGCGUGAAUGAAGAAGGCCCUAGGGUUGUAAAGUUCUGUCGGUCGGGAAGCGGUACCGAAAGAAGAAGCACCGGCUAACUACGUGCCAGCAGCCGCGGUAAUAC